rnacentral:rRNA from 1 species
UGGGGAAUCUUAGACAAUGGGGGAAACCCUGAUCUAGCCAUGCCGCGUGAGUGAUGAAGGCCCUAGGGUCGUAAAGCUCUUUCGCCAGGGAUGAUAAUGACAGUACCUGGUAAAGAAACCCCGGCUAACUCCGUGCCAGCAGCCGCGGUAAUACGGAGGGGGUUAGCGUUGUUCGGAAUUACUGGGCGUAAAGCGCACGUAGGCGGACUAUUAAGUGAGGGGUGAAAUCCCGGGGCUCAACCCCGGAACUGCCUCUCAUACUGGUAGUCUUGAGUUCGAGAGAGGUGAGUGGAAUUCCGAGUGUAGAGGUGAAAUUCGUAGAUAUUCGGAAGAACACCAGUGGCGAAGGCGCUCUACUGGGCCGAGACUGACGCUGAUGGACGAAAGCUAGGGGAGCGAAAGGGAUUAGAUACCCCGGUAGUCC